CUACCCUUGACAUGGCAGGAAGCCCGGAGAGAUUUGGGAGUGCUCGAAAGAGAACCUGCACACAGGUGCUGCAUGGCUGUCGUCAGCUCGUGUCGUGAGAUGUUGGGUUAAGUCCCGCAACGAGCGCAACCCUUGUCAUUAGUUGCUACGCAAGAGCACUCUAAUGAGACUGCCGGUGACAAACCGGAGGAAGGUGGGGAUGACGUCAAGUCCUCAUGGCCCUUAUGGGUAGGGCUUCACACGUCAUACAAUGGUACACACAGAGGGCCGCCAACCCGCGAGGGGGAGCUAAUCCCGGAAAGUGUAUCGUAGUCCGGAUUGUAGUCUGCAACUCGACUACAUGGAGUUGGAAUCGCUAGUAAUCGCGGAUCAGCAUGUCGCGGUGAAUACGUUCCC
rnacentral:rRNA from 1 species